CCUUUACAAAUUCAGCCUCUGUCUUCUUGAGGAGCUUUACCGCCUAACACCGCCGACGAGAGCUCCUGGAAAAACACAAGUUCUGCUCGGGCAGCAGGAAGAGAGUUGACGCGCUUCAAACUGGUUGGUUUUGUUCCGGGGUUUGGCUCUGACUCUACGGCCGCAUCUACGUGAAAGGGACGGCUUUUUUUCUUCCCAACAGCCACGCCAGAGGUCGACUGUCCUUCAGCAGGAGCAGGAAAGAGGAAGACUAGCCAACGGGGCGUCAAGAGCCCUCAUACAAUGAUGCCUCUUGUCUUGGGUUUCUGGCUCGGUGACCACACCUGGGAAAGACAAGGCAAAAAGCGUGGGCAGCCGUAAGACUCCCACUGCACAGAGCAGCAUGUGCAACAAUGGGGCACAUUCUGCUGUAUAUAACCAUGAGAGGAGCAGAAGAGGAAGUAUUUGGACAAAUGGAGGACAUAUUGAGACGAAGUUUGUUGGACGUCGGGGUUGGUUAGAUAUUUUGAAAGGUAAAACAGGACAUGCUUUACUUUGAUCAGGCACUGUUAUUUUCACAGCUUGUUUCUACCAGCUAGAAUUUUCUGGGCUAAUCUUUUUUCACUCUUUCUUUCUCUCUCUCCCUCUUUUCUUCCUCAGAGGGCCUGCAGCACUGGUUUAUAAUGCUGAUGAUUAACUAAAUAAAGUCUGGGAGAGCAGGUCUGCUUGGCUUUCUCAUUUCAUGGGGCCUGACUGACCAGGAGGAAGACGGAGCGUUCUCAGGCAGCAGGCUGGAAAUUCAAGAUCUUUUUUCUCUUUCUUUUUCAGCCCCCUCCCUCCAAACAUACUCACUUUACUUUGGUUUUGUUACAUUCUUUCCUUGGGGUACCUUUCAUGACGGUAAGGUUACAGGUGCAUUCUCCAUUUUCCUUCUCCACCUUCUUUCCCUGAACUUUUCCCUCCCUUAUACUCUCUUUUCUUUCUCUCUCCUUCUCCCUCCCCCCUCUCUCUCGUGCUCUACUUUUGCACUGCUUGCAGGAUGACUAGAAACCUGUUCUUUCUUAAUGAAUUCAAUGUCUCUCCUUUGCAUUUGGGUUUCUGUUCUGAGAGAAAUUUCAUUGAAGAUUUUAAGAAGAGAAGGCACAAUCUCAUUGCUUUAAACAUUAGAACAAGAAAAAAAAAUCUCUAUUAUUAACCUACACGUUUAAAAAAAAAAAAAUAUUGUAUAUCUAAUGCAACUAAAUAUUCAGUAUAAUGGAUACUUAGGAUAACUGGAUAAUGGAUAAAAUAUGUAUUUAAUGUUUAAUUUAGAGAAUAAUAAUGUACAUUAAAUGUCAGUCUGGGGUGUGAGGAUUUCACGCGGCGUAUCUGUGAAUGAUCCCUGUUAUUCAGUAAACGAAGGCUGUUUCAGUGACCUUUUGCAUACACAGUGUCGGUUCAGGUCGAGCUGAGCAGCAUUCCAUCAGCCUGUCAUCACUCAGCAAACACAAAGACAACGGCCUGAGAGGUCCACCAGCGGAAAACAGAAAAAAAAAUUGGCUUUUCCUUUCUUCCAUUCCAUAAAACAUCUGUUGAAACGGACUUGACAACACUGCUUUAUUACAGCCAGAAUAGUAUGUUGCAACUUAAAAACACAGUUCCUCAUCUGCUGGGAUAUGAAACAGUUCCCUGAGGCCGAUGUGCUUUUGACUCGGUGGCAUUUUUGAGUGGAUGUAGGCUACGCGACGUACGGUGUUUGAAAUUAGUAACUGCCAUGUAUUGUGUGAAAAGCAGCCCUCCCAACCUUGCCGUGCCAUAGAUUUAGACUAGUCGGAACAGGUUUGGGCAAUCAUUAACAACUACUGUGGCCCAGUCUUCUGUGACAGCGAGUUUAAGCUGAAAACCCCAACCACAACAAGGGCUCAGCAAUUAUACUAUGGAGAGGUGGUCUCCAAAUAUGCACUUCCCCUAUUUACAAUGCUGUUUUUGGGCAAUACACGGCUCAGUUUUAGUUACAACUUUGUCACAAUAAAACUACACAACUUGACUAGAUUAGUGGAAAGGAAAAGCUGCAUAUUUUAGGUUAUAUUUUGUGUUGAAUACUCACUUAUUCCACACUUAGAGAGUUCCACUUUUUUCUUGUAGACAAAGGUAUUUAAGGUUAGGUUUACUGCUCACACCCAAAUCUGAUGUCACAUUCAUUCAUUCAUUCAUUAACCUUUAAUAACUGGCACAGAUAUCACAUUUUGUUGCUGUAUGUUGUACACUUUAGGAGCGUAGUAAUGAGAUGUUUCGUGUUUGGGUGAUUAUCUCCAUCUUACGAGGCAGCAUUGGAUAUCAUCACUUUCUCUAAUACUGCCUGGUAAUGAUGAUGAUAGUCAUCUGCGGACUACAACCGGACAAACCACUUUAGCAAUGUUAGCAGCAACGUGCUCCUGGCCUGGGCCCUGGAAACGGCUGAAAUACUUGAAGCAGCAACAGAAAUGGCUCUCAGGAUCCAUCUUACCUGACAGUGCUGGAUUGUACGACUGUUGUUCUAACACUGUCUGGUAACGAUGUUUUCUGGGUGACUUUGGUCUCCGGUGUGACUGUGGGAUAGUUGCCCAUCAAAUGUUAAAUCCAAACAUGUUAAUGGUUGUUGAAAUUGGUAAGACUCCUUUGACGUCGUCAUUGAAGGGUAAACGUAAUAAGCAGGGUUGGCUCUGUAUCAUGGGGUAGCAUGGCUGGAAAAUAUUUGUUAGGUGUGUCACUUUUUACUCUGAAGUUCAUUCCAAGAAAAGUUUAGCCUUGUGUUUACCAUACACUUGGCUUUAUAGAUGCCACAGGCUGUAUGUCGAUCAGUCAAAAAGAUAAAAGAAAAGUGGCACAGAUGAUGUAUGGUGUUGACAGACUGGGCAUUAGUUAAAAAUACAUGAACAUUUAUGUCUGAGCCUUUUAUUUAAAAAACAGUUUGAGAUGACUAUUGUUGAAGGAUUCCUGUGGGAAAUGAGAAAGAGCAGAUCUUUUACGCAGUAAUGGUUCUAAGGUCAGCAUUUAUGUUUGCUUACUUCCCCAUGUUUUUUUUUUUUUUACUUUUAUGGCAACCCCACCCCACCCAAGUUAAAGAAUAGCAGUCGGUUGAUGGUUCCACCGGUCCUGCAGGGCCUUAUUUCCUUGUUCCCUCCCCUGAACAGUGCUGGUAUUUGUGUUGUGUGGCAGUGAUUGGUCCAGCUAGCCUUACCUGCGUGGCACAUCCUGAAACUGACACAUGAGCUCACCUGAGAGUGCUUGACUGUUAAAAAAACUAAACAAAAACUGAGCUACAGACGCUUUGGCCUCCUCCCAGCUUUUCAAACUUUUAUCCGCGGACAAUAAAAUGAAACCUUAGUGCUUUAGGUAGACAAAAAAUGGAGUCUCUACAACAAAAAUGGACUUUACUUAGUGUGUUAGGUAUGUUACAAAGUAAAACUUAUACUGAUGUCUCACGUCUUUGAUUUAAAACAGUGGAGCUUAAAUAUUACUGAACUGAAGACAGUGAACAAUUUUCAUCAAUGUCUGGACUAAAAUGGGAAUUUAAUGGGUAAAGCCUUCAAACAGACAUGAAAAACAAAGGCAAAUAAUAGACAUGGAGCAAACCGAAACCUAGUGUUUGUUUAAGGAGGGAGAAUUACCCCGCAAAUAUUGAGCCACACCUUUAUUUGCCCACCCAGCUCCAUUAUCCAAGCACAGAAACAUUAAAUAGUUUUUUUUCCUCCAGUUGUCCCUUUUCUCUGUGUUUGCGUCACAUAUUUGUGUAUUAAUGUAAUAAUGUAGAAUCAGAAAGAAUUUACCAAGCUUACUUUGCUUCUUUCCUUGGUCUGUUUAGUCAUAGCUUUCUCUGCAUGCUUGGCCAAUUUAAAUGUACAAAUGAAUCAACAAAAGAGGAACUGCUCAUUUCAACCUGUUUCUGCUGGACUGUUCUGUUUCUUCCAGCUCUCUUCUUCCUCUUUGCACAGGUGAAAGCUCAGAUGUCAUCCUUCCAGCCUGUUGAUAGGCGUCUUACCAGACAUGGUUAGAUGUAAUUACUGGUGUCUAAUACUGUCUGGUAAUGCCGUCCAUUAAAUGGCAUUACCUUCUGCUCUCUUACUUCCCCCUCUCUUGCUCUCGUGCACCUGACAUGCAGUGUAUUGACAAAGGGCAGUCUAGGGAAGCACAUCAACAUAUUCAUAGUAGAGGCAGAUGGGGCUGAAUUAUGAUGACUAUGAAACUAUGAUCCUUGCACUGGAAGAUUGAUUGAGUUCUUGGGGUUUCUUCCAUGUGACUUGAGUCAGAGUUUCUCCAUUGAGCAGCAGUCCAGAGGAGAAGACAGUUCUACUUACAGUCGGCUUUCUUGAUGAAUGCUGCGCUGUAAAUUAGUUUCUAGCAAGAAUGUUAAUGUGAAUGCCGUGUAAAAAAAAAAUGGUUAUAUAAAAUGCUGUGACUUUUAUCUGUUGAAAGAUCUGCUUUCUUCCUCUUACCGCAAUAACUAAAUUCCUUCUGGGGACUUGGCUUUUCUCCAGGUACAGUAGAACAAUGCACACACUUUUUGAGACUUCAUUAUCUAUGACACACUCUGUACAUAAUUUUAACUGUAUUUACUGUGAUAUGAUGUUACGAAAUGUAAAGGAAAAGAUUAAAUAAAUGGGAUAAAAUAUGAAA